GACGAACGCUGGCGGCGUGCUUAACACAUGCAAGUCGAACGGAAAGGCCCUGCUUUUGUGGGGUGCUCGAGUGGCGAACGGGUGAGUAACACGCGAGUAACCUGCCCUUGACUUUGGGACAACUUCAGGAAACUGGGGCUAAUACCGGAUAGGAGCUCCUGCUGCAUGGUGGGGGUUGGAAAGUUUCGGCGGUUGGGGAUGGACUCGCGGCUUAUCAGCUUGUUGGUGGGGUAGUGGCUUACCAAGGCUUUGACGGGUAGCCGGCCUGAGAGGGUGACCGGCCACAUUGGGACUGAGAUACGGCCCAGACUCCUACGGGAGGCAGCAGUGGGGAAUAUUGCACAAUGGGCGGAAGCCUGAUGCAGCAACGCCGCGUGCGGGAUGACGGCCUUCGGGUUGUAAACCGCUUUCGCCUGUGACGAAGCGUGAGUGACGGUAAUGGGUAAAGAAGCACCGGCUAACUACGUG
rnacentral:rRNA from 1 species